UCUAUGACAUAAGCAAGGAGCUUAUGUCAACAUCUAUGCAAAAGAUGGCACUGGCUUGAACCGGGAAGGUAGUGCUGGAGGAAAGAAAGAAAAAGAUGACCUGGCCUCCUUGUAAACGUGUGAAUGGCAUACACAUACAGCACCUUUACCAGAAAAGAGGUCUAAGAGUUCGGAUGGCAAACAAACUAGCAUCUCUGAAUUUAUGGGACGGAGUCUCAUUGUUACGCGGCUGGCGUACAGUGGCGCAAUCUCGGCUCACUGCAACCUCCAUCUCUUGGGUUCAAGCGAUUCUCCUGCCUCAGCCUCCCGAGUAGCUGGGACUACAGGUAGUUAGCCUGAGAGCAUCUGUGACAGCCUAAGUGGUGGCCCCCAUGACCCUGCUGUUUUUCUUCUCUAUUCUGUUGCUAAUAAUGUUUUCUUCAUCCCUGAACAUCUGUCAGCUACUGAUGAAGUGAAUUGGCUAGAGAAAGGGCUGGACCUUGUUAAUUGCAUAGAAAAAACUAUCAAGAUGGCUGAAAUCAAAUGCAAAGAGGCAACAUCAAACAAAACCUAAAAAAAAAAAAAAAAAAAAAACCAGUAAACAAAAAAAACAAGCAACAGAUCAUAUCCGGAAGCACAGUUUAAGAAGUUUUUGGUUUUUUUUUUUCCAGAUAUUUCAGGUGACCCAAUGCCAAAAAGCAUCUCAUCUUCUAGUAGUUGUGGAAUCUUCUGGAAAAGAGAUCCAAAUCAACUGGCUUCCUUGUCCCCUCACCAUGUGUGACACGGAGCAGCACCCACUUCCAGUGUAGCUCCCCUUCCAGGGGAGGGCUACAAAGGCUGUUUUCCUCACAAGAGUUCCUACAGCUGAUGUGACUUCAGAGACUCCUGUAGACUAUGGAAACAGGGUGGUGAAGCGUCUCCUGAUGGAGCGCACUGCAGAAAGCAGGGUUGUCUGUGGCUGUAAAUUAUUUCACUCUUUGCUCUCGUCCCAGAGAAACAGCGUUAGGGUAGCACCUAAAUCUGCAAAUCCAAGAGCCUUGCCCCUCAGAUAAAUGAGCGUUGCCUCUGCCUUCCUUGAAAGGAGCUGGGGCACAGGUCACUGCCACUAUCCUCCUUCCUGGCUCCCUAGGCUUUUUCUUUCCCUGAAUUCAGUAUUUUCACCUCUCUUCUUUCUGCUUAUUCUCUAGAAGCUCUUUGUCCAGUCCUGAAGCAACUGCGAUGGUUUCUAGGUGAUUCUGAGGGAAGGGUGACAUGUCAUUUUCUGGAAGUUUUGUGUAAGGCUACGAGUGGGGCAGUGAAAUGGGUUAGCUCCACUGAGCAUUUAAUGAUCUAAUUAGAACUUGGAUGAACCAAAAUAUUUUUUAAAAUCAUGUGGAUUGUAUUAGAUGGCUUCAUAUUUAUAACUAUCUGAAAUGGACAAGCCUCUAACACUGAGGAAGCCUUUCGGGGUGAAAGCCGAGAAGCUGCCUUAAUGCCAAGGCACACCUGAGCACAGGUAACAACAGCCAGGUGCUCUGGAUGUCCACCUACGUCCCUCCAAAGAUCAUCACAAUGCAUCCCUCAUGCCCCACAUCAUUGCUUCAGAGGCUCAAGCUGCCUGUCAUUCUUAUCACCCAAACUGUCAGUCCCAUAUGGGUCCAUACAUUUCCUAAUAUCAGCCAAUUUCCAUGCUUCCCUCUCUCCUAAGCCUUUUUUCUGUGUCCCCUGAAAUUCCUGUUCAUGAUAAACUAACUUCCCUGUAUAAUCAGCCUUUUGAAAGGUUUCCCUGUCCACACUGACUUAACUGAAACUGAUCCAUCUCCCUUGCAACCUUUUCAAGUGAAGGCUGCUUUUCAUUUCAUAUUCACAUCUUUCAAGGCCAGAGGUGAAGAUGGUUGUCCCUUGGCUCCUUAACGACGCCCCCAAAUGCUUGGGUUCCUCUCCCUUGUAAAACCCACCACUCCUUUGAGACCCAUGCUUCACCCUCACCUCCUCACUGCUGCCCCCUGAUCUCCUGGACGCAGCCCCUAAUUCUUGAAGACUGUAGCUUCAGGCUGUUCUCACCUUUUCUCUGAUUCUUGUCAUCAUUCUGGGGACUUGAACUCCUGUAUGAAUAAGCCACCAUCAAUCUAUUCUUUCUGUUUUACCUUCUCAUCCUGCUGACCUUUUUCUCAUCCUUCUAUUCGCACGGUCCAUCCCCAGGCUCUGUCAUCCUGAGAAACUGUACCACCUCUGAAAUCCCAAUUCCAAAUAUGUCUCUUUCUGAUGAUCACCUCUUAUCUUUCCAAAUCUCUUGCUAAAGUAUGAACAUUGCUUAAAUUCUUCAACUUCAUCAAGACGUCUAAUUAAUUGGCCCCAUAUUUCCUCUCCAGCCAUGGGCCUCUCCAGGCCCACCUUCCUUCCUGGUCUGACAGCUUCUGUCAUCUACCACCAGAAGCAUUGCCUGGAAAACACAGAUUUCCAUGGUCUUCUUUAUCUGAUGGCAAAAUUCCAGGCCUGGAAAACAUCACCUCCGCCUUCCCUGGGCGUGUAGCCCUGCAGCUGAACACAAUGGCAUGAUGGCUUUCUCUUAAAUAAUGGACCACAAACUUCAAAUGGGCACUUACAACUUCCUCAAGAUUGUAUUGUGUUUCUCUAGUGACAUGUUCUCUCUACUUUCUUCCCCUCAACCCGCCGAAAAAAGGGGUGAAAUAAAAAAGAUGAAAUGAGGAUAGUUACAAAAGCAUAGGAGAUAGAAGUUUUUACACAGCAAGGGUAAGAAAUAUUUUUAUAAACAUUGGUAAUAGUUAUGAUAAUUAGUAGAAUUAGGAUAAUAGUGAAGUAGUUAUAGAAGAAAAUGAAUUUAUUACUUUUAUUUGGAGUUGCACCAAUUUUUUGGUUCCUAAGACCAAUGUAGGUAGGACCUGCCUCUCUCCAGCCAUCCAUACUUUAUAUUUCACUGAGGAGAGAGGAAUCAUGGCUGAUGUCCUGAUGUGCUCAACAGAUGUUUCCUAAGCACACUCUAAGUGUCAAGUACUCUUCUAUGUGGAAGACGCAGCAGUGAAAAAUGACAUCUGCCUUCGUGGAGCCAUCAUACUGCAUCUCUCCUCUUCACAUCCCUGCAACUAUGAACACACCUGCACCUGCACUCACCCUCUCCAACCCCUCUCACAACACAAAAAGUGGCCUUCCUCCUGUUAGGGGCCGAUUCCUCCCUCUCUGCUGGAUCUGAGCCCUUCUUGCCUUCCAAAGUACUUCCCUUCUUCAGUUCUCGGAUCUCUCUCUCAAAUUACCAGGUAAUUCAUCUCUAUGGAAUCCUUCCUGUGAGUGUAAAACAAGUUGUGGCCCUUCAAUCUUUAAAGAACUGUCUUGUGGUUGUUGCAUUUCUCUUUCUCUUCAUAGCAAACCCUCUAGAAGGAAUUAUCCUCCCCUUCUGUUCACUCUUCAUCCCAUAAAACUCUGGCUCCUGUCCUUACGCAUCCCCCAAAACUGCUCAUUAUGGUCAUUCGUGACUUUUGCCACAGGCGAAGGACGCUCCCUGACCUCAUCUUCUGCAAACUCUCAGUAGCAUUCAACAUAAAUCACCGUUCCUCCUCUGGAAGGCCCGCCUUCUCAGCUUCCCCAACACCAUAAAUCAGCAUUCCUCCUCUGGAAGCCCCGCCUUCUCGGCUUCCCCAACACCAUAAAUCAGCAUUUCUCCUCUGGAAGCCCCGCCUUCUCGGCUUCCUCAACACCAUAAAUCGCCAUUCUCCUCUGGAGGACCCGCCUUCUUGGCUUCCUCAACACCACAAAUUGCCAUUCCUCCUCCGGAAGGCCUGCCUUCUUGCCUUCUCAGCUUCCUCAACACCAUAUGGCCCUGGAUUGUCUUCUACUUUCCUUGAGGUUCCUUCCUGGUCUCCUUUGUUGGUUGCUGCUCUUUACCCAAUUUCCAAACACUGGUGUUCCUUACGGUUCAUCCAAUCACGGUCUCUUCUUUCUUGGCUUCUUCUGAGAAUCCCCAUGGGUUUAAAAUUUCCUCUACAUGCUGGUAUUUCCAAAGUUAUCUCUCCAUCUCGGACCUUAGGUCUCACUGUCCUCCAAGCUCUCACUCACACAUCCAAGUCCCGACUUAUCUCCUUCUCCAUGCUUCAGGCAUAGCAAAUGUGUUCAGAAUUGAAGCUCAGAUCCCAUGCCUCUGAAACAGGCGUGUCCCCGAGGACACUACUUCGCCUGCAGCACCCUCAAAUGUUUUUGUGUCUGCAAUCCCAGUACCACAAAGCAUUGCUCUACAGUGUUGUAAGUAAAACAUUUUCCCUUUCUCCUUCUAAAGCCCUCCAACUUUCCAUUUCAACCCAUCAGCCUACACCAUGCACUAUUUCCCCUUCUGCUGUCAGCUACUGACAUCCAUUUCUCUCUCUCUCUCUCAUUUCUCAAAUCUUCAGUUUACAAUUCUGGAAGAUCUCAGCGUGCACAGGGGUGGUACUCCCAACUCUCCGACUUCCCAAUUCCAUGACCUCAACUUCUCUCAUCACCUUGUCCUCCAUCUGAAAUCAGACACACAGCCUCCCUAGGCCUCCUCCGACCUCGUCGGUGCUGACCAUGCAGCUCCUCCACAAGCUCGAUGUGAAGUCUCUCAUUCUUUGGCCAAUGCCUGUUUGUCCAGUUCAACCCUUCUAGUACUCAAAUCCCAAAAAUUCUUUGAGCCACUGGCAUCUGUAACCAACUUUCCCUGUCCUCUCUCUCAUCUGGGUUCUCUGCUUGCCCAGCUGAAAUUUCACGGUCGGUCAUAAUCACUCCCUUAGAUUCACCCUCAGCUUACACUGUUGUUGUAACACCGUAAGAUGAGAUCCACCCUCAGCUUCUUAGCCUCCCUCUUGUUUUUGUUACAUUUUGACCGCAAAACUUCAAUGCCAGUGCCUUUUCUGCAUCUGUGCCUACACAGAUGAGUGUGUCAGAAAAACACCCAGUGGAUUGACCUCACUCCAAAUUCAACCAUUUCCCAAGUUUAUUCCCUCCUCACCCUCCUAAAUGACAAUUUCAUUAUCCUCUCCUGACAUGGUUUGGCUGUGUCCCCACCCAAAUUCUCAUCUUGAAUUGUAAUCCCCAUAAUGCCCACAUGUCAAGGGCGGGACCAAGGGUGGAAGUGAUUGGAUCAUGGGGAUGAUUCCCCCCAUGGUGUUCUCGUGAUGGUGAAUGAGUCCUCACGAGAUCUGAUGGUUGUAUAAUUGGCUGGCAUUUCCCCUGCUUGCACUUUUCCCUCCUGCUGCCUUUUGAAGAAGGUACCUUGCUUCCCCUUUGCCUUCCGUCAUGAUUGUAAGUUUCCUGAGGCCUCCCCAGUCAUGUGGAACUGUGAGUCAAUUAAACCUCUUUCCUUUAUAAGUUACCCAGUCUCAGGCAUUUACUUAUAGCAAUGUGAGACCAGACUAAUACAUCUCCUUUCCCUCUAAAACUCUUCCCCCAUCUGUACUCUCAGCUGAUGACCUAGCUUCCUGUUACACCAAGAAAAGAGAAACAACCAGCAGAGACCCUAUGGAAGGUUUACCAUCAAAUCCAAUGCUCAUACGUCUGUGCCUGCAUAUUCUGUCUCCCCCACUGUUACCAGGCGGAACUGGCGACUCUCUUGUCCAAGCCCAUGCCUACAUCCAAGGACACUGCUCCUGAAUUAUCCCUUCCCCCUUCUGCAUCAUCAGUCUCCCAAUUCCUCUACUGAAUCAUUACCAUCAGUACAUAGACAUGCUGCAAUUUUUCCCAUUAAGAAGGUCAUUUUCUUAUCUCCAUCCCUCAGCUACCUCAUUUCUUUGCUUUCCUCUUCAGCUAAGUUCCCAGUUGCCAAAAUUAAAAUGUAUGUAUUUGCAGUCUCCCACUCUUUGGUUCACCUCUCACAUGAAUCCAUUCGAGGCAGGCUUUCCCCUCACUGUCCAUGGUCAAGGUUACCAAGGACCUCCACAUUGUGGAGUCCAGUGCUCAUUUCUCAUCCUUGUCCUUCUUGCUGAGCAUAGGACACAGAUCAUGAUUCCUCCUCCUAAAGAUGCCUUCUUCCUUUGGCUCCCAGGUCAUGAUACCUGCCUGGAUUUUUUCCCACCUUAUUAUCAUUAUUAUUUUUCGAGACAGAGUCUCACUCUGUCACCCAGGCUGGAGUGCAUUGGCACGAUAUUGGCUCACUGCAACCUCCGCCUCCCAGGCUCAAGCAAUUCUCCUCCCUCAGCCUCCUGAGUAGCUGAGAUUACAGGCGCCCACCACCACACCCAGCUAACUUGUGUAUUUUUAGUAGAGACACGGUUUCGCCAUGUUGGUCAGGCUGGUCUCAGACUCCUGACCUCAGGUGAUGCAUUCGCCUUAGCCUCCCAAAGAUCUGGGAUUACAGGUGUGAGCCACCACGCCUGGCCUCCUCCCACUUUAUUAUUGCAACCCUAUCUUAUGCAAUGUGGCUCCUUCCUCUUUGUUUUGCUCAGUCCUCCUCCCCUCCCCUCCACCAGUCACACUUGUUUCUGGACUAUUAUGAAUGUUAAAGCCAGGCACAUGAUCACAUUGGAGCCUCUGUUGUUGCUUCAUCCGCUCUGUGGAAAUCUCCUUUCCCAGAUGUCACCAUGAGGCUUCUCUGGAUACCUUUCAGUCUUUAUUCACCUGUCACCUGCUCAGUGAAACUUUCCCUGACCACCUUAUAUAAAAUUUCACCUCUUCCUCCAGU